rnacentral:misc_RNA from 1 species
UUGAAUAGCGUAGUGUUGAUGCUGGCUCUCUCGGGGGCAUGUGCUCGCAUUGCAUUAUUAUUAUCUCUUGUGCACCUUUGCUAGGCUUUGGAGUGAGCACCUUUCGUGCGCUUCUAAAGUGUUGCGGCUGGGGCUUGCAGUUUGCUUGCCCUACCCGUUCGCUUCAGAGUCUAUGUUUUAUAUACCCUGUUAAAGUUAUAGAAUGUCUUCUUACUUGACUGGAAAGUCAGUAAAUUUAUA